rnacentral:lncRNA from 1 species
CCUUUUAGCUAUUGUGAAUAAUACUGCUAUGAAUGGUAGUGUGCGAAUAUCUGAGUUCCUGCUUUCAAGUCCCAAAAGAAAUCAUAAGGAAAAAGCAUCAGAACAGUGGUUCUCAACCUUGGCUACUGAAGAUAUUGGAAUCACCCAACAGUUUAAAGACAUUGACAUCAUGCCAUGAAAAAGAACAACUAAAGGAAUUUAUGAACAACAAACUGGCAAUCCAGAAAAUACUCAAGAAUAUCCUAGACAGAGAUGAUAAAUCCAACAAAGCCAAAAAUCUAGAUGGAAUGGUACAUCAAACAAGACUAAUAAAUAAACAAAAAAGAAAAGAAGAGAAAAAGUAAAAGAAAGAAGUUAUCAAUAGAAAAAGAGUGCAAUGGUAGGAAUAAAUCAACACCUCUCAGUAAUAAUUCUCAAUGUUAAUGACCUCAACUCCCUAAUUAAAAGGCAUAGAUUGGCAAAUUGGAUUAAAAAAUGAAAUCCAACAGUCUGCUGCAUACAAGAAACUCAUCUAAUCCAAAAAGAUAUUCAUAGACUAAAAAAAUCAAAGGAUGGAAAACAAUAUUUUCUGUACUAGGAACCAAAAUCAAGCAUGAGUAGCAAUUAUAUUCUCAGACAAAGUAAACUUCAAGUUAAAACAAAUGAGAAGGCACAAAGAUCAUUAUAUACUAAUUGAGGGAAUAAGAAGAGAUAACACUUGUAAAUAUGUAGGCUCCAAAUACUGAAAAGCUUAUCUUUAUAAAACAAGCAACACUUAACAUAAAAAAUCAAAUAAACACUAGUACAAUUAUAGUAGGUGACUCCUAUACCCCCACUCUCAAAAAGAUAAUUAACUAAACAAAAAAAUCAAUAAAGAAUUAUCAGAACUGAACCACACCCAUGAACAAAUAGACUUAAUAGAUAUGUACAGAAUGUUCUACCCUAUUAAACAGAGUACAUAUUCUUCUCAACAGCACACAGAACUUUCUCCAAAAUAUAUCACCUACUAACCCACAAAGCCUGCUUAAAUAUCUAUAAAUAAUCAAAAUCACUCCAUAUUUACUGUCACACCAUUGUGCAAUGAAUCUAUAAAUCAAUCACGGAAGAAAGAAAUACCUAGAAACAUAGAAAUAACACAUCCAGAAACCCAAUGGAUCACAGAAUAAAUCAAGGAAGAAAUUGAAGAAUUUCUAGAAGUAAAUGACAAUGCCAGUACAGCACACUAGAAUAUAAGACGCAAUGAAAGCUCUCCUAAGAGGGAAGAUAAUUGCAAUCAAUGAUCACUUUAUAAAAACAGAGCAAGCUAAAAUAAGUAACAUAAUAAAAAAAUUCAAGAGAAUAAGCAACAGUAACUCAAGCCCAAACCAAAAUAAAGGAGAGAAAUAAUAAAGAUCAGAGCUAAAAUUAAUGAAAAUGAGACCAAAGAAAAACAAUGCAAAGAAUCAAUUAAUAGAAGAGCUGGUUCUUUGAAAGAAUACAGAAAAUAUAUAAACUCAUAGCCAGACUUACAAAAAGCAAAAGUUAUCAAUGAGAUUAGAAACGCAAUGAGAAAUGUGAAAUCAUAACAGACACUAUCAAAAUAAAAAAGACAAUAACCACUAUAAAAAAUUGUAUUCCAACAAAUUGGAAAAACUUGAUGUAACAAAAGUUUUCUGGACUCAUACAAAUUAUCAAAACUAAACCAAGAAGUAAAAGUUUUGAACAAUCCAAUAACAGAAAUGAAAUAAUGGCAGUAACAAAAAACCUACCAACUAACAAAAGCCCAGAUGGAUUCACUGCUGAAUUCUACAAAAUGUUUAAGGAUGUUAUAUCACUAAUACUCUUCAAAUUCUUCAAUGAAAUUGAAAGUAAAGGAGUGCAUCCAAACUCAUUUCUGUAAGCCAGCCUCACUCUGAUCCCAAAACCAGAUAAAGACCCAACUUAAAAAAAAUAAAAAGCUGCAGACCAAUCUCCCAAAUGAAAACAGAUGCAGAAAUCCUCAAUAAGACAUAGGCAAAUAGAAUGCAACACAUCUUUGAAUGUUUCAUAUGUUAUGACCAAGUAGGUGUCAUCAAUUAAAUAUAAAAUCAAUAAAGGUAGCACACCUCAUAAAUAGAAGCAAGGACAAAAAAACCACUAUGUGGUCCUAUGAAUAGAUGCAGAGAAAGCUUUUGACAAAACCCAACACUCCUUUGUGAUAAAACCCUGAAGAAAAUGGGUAUAGAGGAACCUCGCCUGAAUUUAAUAAAAUCCACUUAUGACAAACCAAUAAUCAGUAUCAUAUUAAAUAGGGAAAAACUGAAAGCAUUCCCUUUAAAAUCAGGAGCAAGACAAAGAUUCCCACUGUCACCAUUUCUGUUCAACAUAGUACUCAAAACAUUAGCCAGAGCAAUCAAGUAAAAGAAAAAUAAAAAAGGAUAUGUAUAGGAAAGGUGGAGGUCAAACUAUCAUUAUUUGAUGAUGACGUGAUACUCUACAUAGAAGACCCAUAGGAUUCCACCAAAAAACCUCUUAGAAUUAAUAAUCUAAUUCAGCAACAUAGCAAGGUACAAAAUCAACACACAAAAAUGAAUACCAUUCAUGUACACCAAUAAAGGACUCAUUGAGAAAUAAAUAGGAAGACAAUAUUGUUCAAAACAGCAUCAAGAAAAAUUAAAUAACGAGGAAUUAACCUAACCAAAAAGUGAAAGACCUCUGCAAGGAAAGCUAUAGUGCUCUGAAACAAAAGAUUGUAAAGAAUGUCAGAAAAUGAAUGGAAAGAUGGUUCCUCCCUGCUCCCGUGUAGGCUGAGCCCAUAUUGUCAAGAUAGCCAUACUCCCAAAACUGACUUAUAGAUUCAAUGCAACCCCAAUCAAAAUUCUAACGCAUUCCCCACAGAACUAGAGAAAACAAUCCUAAAAUUUGUAUGGAACUAGGAGGGACCCAGAAUAGCUAAAACAAUCCUGAGAAACAAGAACAAAGCAGGA